GAAGGCGUCUAACAAGAACGGAUCUGACGGUGAGGGACGAAGGCCAGGGGAGCAAAUCGGAUUAGAUACCCGAGUAGUCCUGGCAGUAAACGCUGCGAGCUAGGUGUUGCGCAAUCUAUGUGGUUGUGCAGUAUCGAAGCGAAGGUGAUAAGCUCGCCGCCUGGGAAGUACGGUCGCAAGGCUGAAACUUAAAGGAAUUGGCGGGGGAGCACUACCAGGGGUGCGACGUGCGGUUUAAUCUAACUAUACACAGAGAACCUCACCAGAGGCGACGGCAGGAUGAAAGUCAGUCUAAUGGGCUUACUGGACGAGCCGAGAGGUAGUGCAUGGCCGCCGUCAGCUCGUGCCGUAAGGUGUCCUCUUAAGUGAGGUAACGAGCAAGACCUGUACUCACAAUUGCUAACGAGCUCUGCGAUCGAGCACAUUGUGAGGACUGCCUUGGAAACAAGGAGGAAGGUGCAGGCAACGGUAGGUCUGUAUGCUCCGAAUCUUCUGGGCUACACGCGCGUAACAAUGGUAGGGACAAUGGGCUACAACUCCGAAAGGAGAAGUUAAUCCUCGAAACCCUAUCUUAGUUUAGAUUGAGGCUUGCAACUCAGCCUCAUGACAACGGAAUCCCUAGUAAUCAGACGUCUACAACGUCUGGGAAU
rnacentral:rRNA from 1 species